UGACAAUGUUUAACGGCCGCGGUAUUUUGACCGUGCGAAGGUAGCGUAAUCACUUGUCUUUUAAAUGAAGACCCGUAUGAAAGGCAUCACGAGAGUUUAACUGUCUCUAUUUUCCAAUCAAUGAAAUUGAUCUUCCCGUGCAGAAGCGGGAAUAUUAUCAUAAGACGAGAAGACCCUAUGGAGCUUUAAACACUUAAGCUAAUUAUGUAAAAAUCUUAACUCCCAUGGGAAUAAAAAUUAAUACUUACUCCUAACUUAACUGUUUUUGGUUGGGGUGACCAAGGAGGAAAGGAAAACCUCCUUAUCGACUGAGUACUAAGUACUUAAAAAAUAGAAUGACAAUUCUAAUCAAUAAAACAUUUAUCGAAAAAUGACCCAGAACCUAUCUGAUCAAUGAACCAAGUUACCCUAGGGAUAACAGCGCAAUCCUUUCCAAGAGUCCUUAUCGCCGAAAGGGUUUACGACCUCGAUGUUGGAUCAGGACAUCCUAAUGGUGUAACCGCUAUUAAGGGUUCGUUUGUUCAACGAUUAAUAGUCCUACGUGAUCUGAGU
rnacentral:rRNA from 1 species